AUAACUGUCGCGAAUAACAUAUGUCUGCAUCACUAGAGAAAUCUAGAACGAAGAAGCCUUAACCCUUCUUCAUAGAUGAACUCCACUGUCGAGAGGCCCUAAUUGACCUACCAUCGCCAAGAUUUUGGGAACUUCUUCAAAUAAUCAACACAGCCUUUGUGAUUUCGCACUAGAGAGAUAGAAGCCUCUAUAGAUAUCAACUAUCAGGUCUUUAUGGUUGCAAAUGAAAUCAAUAUGAUCUUCAAGGUGUCAAAAGAAGAAAAAUUGUCACGUUGAAGAAAGUGAUUCCAAAAAUCAUGAAGAUUACGUGAUUGAACUCAUUAGGAGGUUGAAUUAGGUUUUUGCAUAUUAUGGUUUAUUUUAAUGGUUUUUUUCCUUAGCUUUUGUUCUUAUAUUAAAAGAAUUGUAAAUUAUAGUCCAACAAUUUGUG